ensembl:rRNA 5S_rRNA 5S ribosomal RNA
GUCUAGAGUCAUACCACCCUGAAUGCUCUUGAUCUCAUCUGAUCUUGAAAGUUAAGCGUGGUCAGGCCUUGUUUGUACUUGGAUGGGAGAAGAUGGAACAUUACUACUUAAAACAAAAAGCACUGUAGAAU